rnacentral:rRNA from 1 species
GAUGAACGCUGGCGGCGUGCCUAAUACAUGCAAGUCGAGCGAACGGACGAGAAGCUUGCUUCUCUGAUGUUAGCGGCGGACGGGUGAGUAACACGUGGAUAACCUACCUAUAAGACUGGGAUAACUUCGGGAAACCGGAGCUAAUACCGGAUAAUAUUUUGAACCGCAUGGUUCAAAAGUGAAAGACGGUCUUGCUGUCACUUAUAGAUGGAUCCGCGCUGCAUUGGCUAGUUGGUAAGGUAACGGCUUACCAAGGCAACGAUGCAUAGCCGACCUGAGAGGGUGAUCGGCCACACUGGAACGGAGACACGGUCCAGACUCCUACGGGAGGCAGCAGUAGGGAAUCUUCCGCAAAGGGCGAAAGCCUGACGGAGCAACGCCGCGUGAGUGAUGAAGGUCUUCGGAUCGUAAAACUCUGUUAUUAGGGAAGAACAUAUGUGUAAGUAACUGUGCACAUCUUGACGGUACCUAAUCAGAAAGCCACGGCUAACUACGUG